rnacentral:rRNA from 1 species
GAUCAUUAUUGAAUCCAAUGGAUGUUGCUAUGUGUCGCGAGACACUUGUGCACUCCGCCUUUCAAUACACCUGUGCACUCUUUGUAGGCGCGGAUUAAGUUCUGCUGCCUAUGUCUUUAUACACCCCAUUAUUGUCAUAAGAAUGUCAUUAGGCCUCUGGCCAAAAUAUAAUACAACUUUCAACAACGGAUCUCUUGGUUCUCGCAUCGAUGAAGAACGCAGCGAAUUGCGAUAUGUAAUGUGAAUUGCAGAAUUCAGUGAAUCAUCGAAUCUUUGAACGCACCUUGCGCCCUUUGGUAUUCCGAAGGGCAUGCCUGUUUGAGUGUCAUUAAAUUCUCAACUUCAAAGGGUUUAUCUCAUUUGAAGCUUGGAUGUUGGGGGAUUUGCAGGCAUGUAACAGUGUCAGCUCCCCUUAAAUGUAUUAGCAGAACUAUGAAGAAUCAGCUCUGGUUUGAUAAUCCUAUCUAUGCCAUUGCUGGGACUCUAAUGUUCAGCUUCUAACUGUCCUUAGGGACUGUCUCGCAAGAGGCAUAGCUUUGAACUGACCUCAAAUCAUGUAGA